UGGGGAAUAUUGCACAAUGGGCGCAAGCCUGAUGCAGCCAUGCAGCGUGUAUGAAGAAGGCCUUCGGGUUGUAAAGUACUUUCAGCGGGGAGGAAGGCGAUAAGGCUAAUAACCUUGUCGAUUGACGUUACCCGCAGAAGAAGCACCGGCUAACUCCGUGCCAGCAGCCGCGGUAAUACGGAGGGUGCAAGCGUUAAUCGGAAUUACUGGGCGUAAAGCGCACGCAGGCGGUCUGUCAAGUCGGAUGUGAAAUCCCCGGGCUCAACCUGGGAACUGCAUUCGAAACUGGCAGGCUAGAGUCUUGUAGAGGGGGGUAGAAUUCCAGGUGUAGCGGUGAAAUGCGUAGAGAUCUGGAGGAAUACCGGUGGCGAAGGCGGCCCCCUGGACAAAGACUGACGCUCAGGUGCGAAAGCGUGGGGAGCAAACA
rnacentral:rRNA from 1 species